AGAACGAACGCUGGCGGCAUGCCUAAUACAUGCAAGUCGAACGAAGGCUUCGGCCUUAGUGGCGCACGGGUGCGUAACGCGUGGGAAUCUGCCCCUUGGUUCGGAAUAACAGUUGGAAACGACUGCUAAUACCGGAUGAUGACGAAAGUCCAAAGAUUUAUCGCCAAGGGAUGAGCCCGCGUAGGAUUAGCUAGUUGGUGAGGUAAAGGCUCACCAAGGCGACGAUCCUUAGCUGGUCUGAGAGGAUGAUCAGCCACACUGGGACUGAGACACGGCCCAGACUCCGUACGGGAGCAGCAGUAGGGAAUAGUGGACAAUGGGACGAAAGCCUGAUCCAGCAAUCGACCGCGUGAGUGAUGAAGUCCUUAGGGUUGUAAAGCUUACUUUUACCCGAG
rnacentral:rRNA from 1 species